AGGAGGACUCCGAAGUCUGCGCUUUGAAAUAAAAGAGCUGGAGCUGAGUAGCAGCUAUGCUCUUGGAUGGAGUUCGAGCUCUCCUGCUGCCCCAGCCCCACGGACCUGGGCUGACCGCCCUGUGACUCCGGGCAGCCCCGCAUCUGUCCGGGCCAUGGGUUCAUCUACAGCGUGGAAACACCGGGGCCCCGGCAGCACGAUGCUGAGAGAAGCCACACACAGAGCGCCAUGAAUCACCUGACCACGUCCCAGCCCCAACGCCAGGGCCAGGGCUGAAGCCGGAGGGCUGCUAAUGACCGAGCGAUUCCAUUCAACGGGAAGCCACUGAGAUGAACGCUGCAGACAGCGCCCUGGGAGCCCAGAGCUGCUGUGGGAUGAGAAUUCAGCCCUAAUGCCGAACAGCCUCAGCCCUAAGCACCCAACCCACUCAGCCCGCCCAUCUCCCACCGAGCGGCCACCUGGGAUAAUCACGCCUUUCACGUACUCCUCCUCUUCAGAAUCUUCUAUGCUCUGCAACUCCCAGGACCCUCAUGUGUGGCCACAUUACCCAAGAUGGCACCCAAGAUGCUGUCUGUAGCUAUGGUUCUAAGGGAACAUUCCCUUGGGUCCCCCAAGCCUGCAACACACAGUCUCCUGGAGUAGAGAAAGCCGCAGAUGAGGAAGGACACCCCACGGGUUGCA